rnacentral:tRNA from 1 species
ACCAAUGUGGUAUAGUGGUUUGAGUGUUAGACUACAAUUCUGGAGACCAGGGUUCGAUUCCCUGCAUGGCCA